UACAGAGGUCCCAAGCGUUGUUCGGAUUCAUUGGGCGUAAAGGGUGCGUAGGUGGCGUCGUAAGUCGGGUGUGAAAUUUCGGAGCUCAACUCCGAAACUGCAUUCGAUACUGCGGUGCUUGAGGACUGGAGAGGAGACUGGAAUUUACGGUGUAGCAGUGAAAUGCGUAGAGAUCGUAAGGAAGACCAGUGGCGAAGGCGGGUCUCUGGGAUGAUGCUGACGCUGAGGCGCGAAAGCCAGGGGAGCAAACGGG
rnacentral:rRNA from 1 species